GGCGGCAUGGCCGAGUGGUAAGGCGGGGACUGCAAAUCCUUUUUCCCCAGUUCAAAUCCGGUGCCGCCU
rnacentral:tRNA from 1 species